UAGAUUAUUUGUUAGGUGAGGUUACUGUAAAGAACACACGCCACUGCCCAGAAAUGUCCAGAGACGCCAAUGGGUUAGCAGGUAUUAUCGAAGUAAGGUAUUACUUAAUGUGGCUGGCAAUGUCCUAAGUCUUACAGAGCUAAAACUCAACGAGUGAAAGAAUUU
rnacentral:sRNA from 2 species